rnacentral:rRNA from 1 species
AGAGUUUGAUCCUGGCUCAGGAUGAACGCUGGCGGCGUGCCUAACACAUGCAAGUCGAACGGACAUAAUUUGAAACCUAGUGAGAAUUAUGUUAGUGGCGGACGGGUGAGUAACGCGUGGGUAACCUGCCCCAUACCGGGGGAUACCAGCCGGAAACGGCUGCUAAUACCGCAUAAGCGCACAGCUUUGCAUGAAGCAGUGUGAAAAACUCCGGUGGUAUGGGAUGGACCCGCGUCCGAUUAGCCAGUUGGCGGGGUAGAGGCCCACCAAAGCGACGAUCGGUAGCCGGCCUGAGAGGGCGGACGGCCACAUUGGGACUGAGACACGGCCCAAACUCCUACGGGAGGCAGCAGUGGGGAAUAUUGCACAAUGGGGGGAACCCUGAUGCAGCGACGCCGCGUGAGUGAAGAAGUCAUUCGUGAUGUAAAGCUCUAUCAGCAGGGAAGAAAAUGACGGUACCUGACUAAGAAGCCCCGGCUAACUACGUG